GAUGAACGCUGGCGGCGUGCCUAAUACAUGCAAGUCGAGCGAACGGACGAGACGCUUGCUGCUCUGAUGUUAGCGGCGGACGGGUGAGUAACACGUGUAUAACCUCCCUAUAAGACUGGGAUCACUUCGGGAAACCGGAGCUAAUCCCGGAGAAUAUUUUGAACCGCAUGGUUCAAAAGUGAAAGACGGUCUUGCUGUCACUUAUAGAUGGAUCCGCGCUGCAUUAGCUGGUUGGUAAGGUAACGGCUUACCAAGGCUAGGAUGCGUAGACGACGGCAUAGGCGGAUAGCCGACCUGAGAGGUGGGACGGGGACCUGGGUCCUAAGGUAGGCCGCAGAAGGGAACGGUCGGCAAUAGGCGGAAGCAUGACGGAGUGACGCGGCGUGAGUGAUGAAGGCCUUCGGUUCGUAAAGCCCGGUUUCGAGGGAUGAACAGCUGUGGAAGGAAAUGUGGACUGAGUGACGGUACCUAGUCAGAAAGCACCGGCUAACUACGUG
rnacentral:rRNA from 1 species